UAGACGCAUGUGGUGCAUCAUCAAGAGAAGAUGAAACAUGCGGAAGGUGAUUGAGCCCUUAACUUGACUCACCUGUAUUUUAUACUUGUGUCUCAGCCUUAUUUAUGAGAGAGGCUAUCUACACAUCCUUCUCCUUCACCGUCUUGGUGAUUUUGGUGAUGACGCAAACUAGCUCUACCAAUUAUUCUUCUACAGAUAUAGUCUUUGUUACCAUUAUCAAUGUAAUCAUCG
rnacentral:lncRNA from 1 species